rnacentral:rRNA from 1 species
AUACGGAGGGUGCAAGCGUUAAUCGGAAUUACUGGGCGUAAAGCGUACGUAGGCGGUUAUUUAAGUCAGAUGUGAAAGCCCCGGGCUUAACUUGGGAACUGCAUUUGAAACGGGGUAACUAGAGUUUAGUAGAGGGGAGUGGAAUUUCAGGUGUAGCGGUGAAAUGCGUAGAGAUCUGAAGGAACACCAGUGGCGAAGGCGACUCCCUGGACUCGAACUGACGCUGAGGUACGAAAGCGUGGGUAGCAAACGGGAUUAGAAACCCCAGUAGUCC